UUUUAGCCCCGAUAGUAGUGGAAAUCCUUUUACUUUUUUCUUUAAAAAGGAAAAGAUUGCAACGGAUAGCGGGAUUAGCU
rnacentral:sRNA from 1 species